AUGAUACUGGCAUACGUAGUGGCGGCAGAGGCAGGGGUUGCAAUUCUCUUAACUCUACCUUCGCCAAAGGCUCUGAAAUCUCGUAUUGUGUCAUUGAUCUCUCUUAUUCUCCAGCCUUCACUCUUCGUCGUACCCUUCUCCGCUUUUCAGCUCCUGGGUAUGUUUUUUAUCUUUAUUCUUUUGGAAAAUUUAUUUAUUUAUUUUGUUUGUGAUUUUUGGGUGUUGUAAUUUGAAGUGGGGGUUUAUUUGAUUUUAUUUAUUUGUGUUAGAUAUAUAUUGGAAGAAUGAGCAUCGGUUGAUGUGUAGUGGGGAGAUCUGCACUGCUGCUGAAAGAGAUCGCUAUGAGAAAUCGGUAAUUAAUUUUAGGGUUCUAUCUCUUAGCAAGACUUUUGGAAAGUUAACGGUGGAAGUAAUUGUGAAUUUGAAGCAAAAAAUAAAUAAAAAUAAAAAUUAUAAAAAAAAAAUGAAGGAGAAAAAUUGUUAAUUGAACUAGUUUGCUCCAUGUUCUUUAGCACGUUAUGCAUUAAUUUGGAUUUUGAUGCAAGGAAAAUUCUUCGAGUACAGGCUAUCCGCUGCUUUCACUCGAGGCUUCUCGUGUAUUCCGCAUUUUUUUCUUCAGUUCUUGAAGUUGUUUGUCAAACAUAAUUUCUGAAGGAUGGAAUAUGUACCCUUAAAUAUUUGUAUUUUUUGUCUCUGUUUGUUAUCACCCUGUGGUUUCUCUUCUUAGCGAAAAAACCUCUGAGUAUCCAUUAAAAUUUUUUAAGUAUAAGAACCCCAAGAAAAAUGGAAAGAUGAAAAUUGCACUGAAGUAGUGGAGUUGUGAAUUAGUCACAGUCUGCCCUUUUGUUUUGAUGGAAACCCUAAUAUCUUGAAGCAUAUGCAUCUUUGGUCUCUUUCUUAGUAAUCCAUGGUCAGGUAGUGACUUAUCUGCUUGGGGUUCUAUAGCUGUGACUCCUUAAUGUAGUCCAUGUUGCGGUAGCAAUCAUUUUCAUCUUUCCUCAAAAUAAUCUAAUCGUUAUGUAGUCCAUUAACAUUUGACGAGAGUGUGACGUUUCUUAAAUGAUAACCUUCAAGUUGGGGGGGGGUAGAUGGGAGCUUGGUCAGUCGCACUUAUACCUGUAAGUGGUUUUAUCAUCUGUCAGCAGGUCUUGAUAUUGUGCAUAUUACCAUUGAUUGUUUCUCUUAGCUAUGCCACGCCCUUUUGUUUUGAUUUGCACAAAUGUGGAAAAAGAUUUAUCUGUUUAUUACCAAUUCCUACUUUUACUAAAGAUUUUGGUUUAGGCCACCACUUAGGUUGCAUGUUCUUGAUUCAAACUCUGCCCGCUUGUGUGAGUUGCAGAUCUACAAGGCUCAGAGGAAUGCAGUUUUGUGUGUUUCAGCUUGCCUUCUGUAUUGGUAUGUGGCUAACAAUACUGACCACCUUUGGCACGUUUGGUGAGGUGGACUCGGAAGUACCCUAUAGUGUUUAGAACAAAAAAAUUCAAAAUCUUGUGUAUUACACUGUCGAGUCUUGUCCAAUACUCUCUACCAAACAUGCUAACUUAGGUUCUGGUUUAGUUUUCGAUCCUUCUUUCCUCAAUUUUGAUAUUUUGAUAUUUUUAAAUGCUGGUGCAGGUGUAUCUACCGUAUUUGCAAGUAUCACAGGGAUAUUCAGAGCAUGGAGGAAGUCGAGAAGAGGUACAAGGAGCAUUAGAAGAUUCAGUGGCUUAGCCAUUCAGUUGCAUCGAUAGUGAAGCAUAUUAUGCAUCUACCACUGCCAUUAUUUUUUCGUUUUACAGUUUAUGUUUACUGUUUUAUGUUGAAUAAUUCGUCGUGUAUUUGUAGUAGGGAUCUGAAGUUGUGCAAUUUUAUAAUAAUUUCUUUUCGAACAGUGGGACGUUAGAAUUCUUUCAAUCAUGAGAAUACCAUAUUCUGCCAAUCUAGAGGACUCCAUAUUGUGUCAUUUUAGUCAGGGGUGAACCCAGUAUCAUGAUUCUGUGGGGGCAAGAUAGAAUUAUGUAAAAAUUCUGAGUUAAAAUUAUGGAUUAAAAAAUUUUGUGGAUCACUUUGUAAAUGUCAAAAAUUAAGGGCCCAGAGUAUGCAAUGGAUCCGCCCCUGAUUUUAUUGAGUGUUCUCAUCAAUGCAAUAUCAUCGGAGACAGUCUGGAAAAUUCGAAUACACAAAAAAAAUUUAAAAGCUUUUUUUGUUUCUUCUGAAUUUUCAUUUAUGGGACUCUUAUAACUACAAAUUAUAAAGGUGUAUGCAUCUGGUAAGUCCACUAUCUGAUAGAGGAUUCAUAGCCAAUGAAAAAAAUGCUUCCGUAUGCACUUUUUGUUCCUACAUGAACUCUGUAAAAAAAAAUUCUCAAGUAAAAUUUCAGGUCAGAAACAGUAAUGUGAAGAACUCGUUUCAGUAAUAGAGAGAGAAUAAUCCUCACUUAUAGCAUAAAUGUCUCCAUCCUUCUCUUCCUCCCACUUGAUGAUCUCCUUUAUGUAUUUGAAUGCUUUAUCUACUGAUGCUCGUUUCCGGGCUCUCGUCUUCCAAACAUAUAGCUUUCUGCCCGUGAUGGACGCAUAUAACUCCUUGAACUUCACGGCUACAUAGUAAUACGCUUGAUGUGCCAGGGACUGGCUGUUGGUGCGAGGCUUCAAGGGGUUGAAGUCGCGGAACCACUCACAAACUGUUAAUGGAACCUUGUUGAUUUUUUCUUCGAAGAUGUCAUAUUUGUUCAAGAGGAGAACAAAUGGUUUGCCCUGAAAUGAAGUAUGUCUCGUGAUGUACUCAAAAGAAUCUCGGGUUGCCAACAUCUUAUUCUCCAGAAGACCCGUACCCCGGCUCCCAACAUGGUCAUAAUCACUCAAGGAAACACAAAAGAUCACUGCUCUCACAUCUUCAAACAUUUCCAGCCAUUUGCAGCCACCAUGCAGUCCAUUAAAUCUGAGGCGUAUCAAUUGGAUCCUAAAAACAGCAUAGAAAAAGAAAAGGGUUGUUUUAUAUAGGAGAACUUAAAACUCUCAGCUAAGAAAGAUGAGACUGGAAGUGCAUGUUUGGCACAUAGAAUUGGAUAGGACUUGAGAGUAUAAUUGAAAAGAUUUUAGAACACUAUUGAGUAGUGUUUAAUGUGCUGUACCAAACAUGUCCGUAAUUGAUAUUUUGCAAUUUCUUAUAAGAAUUCACUUUGUCAAAGGAGGUUGGCAUUCAAAAUUUUCAUUGUACACUCCAGACAUGGAGCUACGAUCAUCGAAGGAAAAUUCAAUACUGGCAAGUCCAUUGUUGGGAGUGACUCCUUCAGCAAAUAAAAUGUCUUCUUCUGAAGGUUCGUACUCGUUACAUGAUAUCUCCAUGACCUGGAAAACACAAUAAGUUUGUUUAAAUCACACUGCCAAUAGCACAUAGAGAAUUUCGAUUUUAGAUUUUAAUAUAAAAAUAUUUGAUAGAUGAAUUGAUGACUUAGUCCGUGAGAUCCUCUGGUUGGUUAUAACUGGCUGCUCCUUCAGAGCCUUGUAUAUGAUCUUACAUCAGACGAGAGAAAAUGGGAACAGCAUUUUUAAAUGGAGGAUAAAAUAUCUGGUUCCAGCAUUUUUAUUUCCCGUAACUUCAAAAUUUCACAAGUAUGGGCUAUUAUUGAAUUUUUCACUGAAAAAAAAUCAUGUUUUGUACAUGUAUUGACACAAUUAGUUCCAUGACAUCCCAAAAUAUUUUCAAUCAGUAAAUUAUUGCCAACAGUCUAUCAGUUCAAGGAGAAAGUUAUUAAAUCAUACCCGGUCUAAGAAAUACUUAGCUACAUCGGGGAGAAAGUGCAGUUCCUCCCUCCUCUUGUAAGUUUCCUGGACAGCAGAAUCUUUCCAACUUUCAUCUACUACAGAAGCAUAUUCACGUGCUGCAGCAGGAAAGAAAGCAUUCAAAUCUCCAGUGGCCAUGAUAUCUAGUAACCAAUCUGAAAAAUGCUUGAUUCUCUGGUUGAUUGAAUAGAUGCAAUGCUCACUUCCUUCAAGCCCCAUUUCACCUGAAUAAUUUGCAAUGGUAAACAAGAGUAAGAGCUCGUGCCCGUAUUCAAAAUCGUUCUCUAAGGCACCAGGAAAUGCCAACUAGCUCCAAAAGAUAUGAGAAAUCUCCACAUAGAUCCCAUUAGAUAUAGUCAAGAAGAACAAAUGUAACUCAUAUUUAAUCCACCCUGCUCCUGUUACUCAAUUUAUGUGAAUUUCCAUUGAAUCCUCCAUGUAUUGAGUUAACGUAAAUAAGAUAAUAUAUAUAUGUAAUUGAAGCCUCAUCUCCUUCCCCAUUCAGGGGGAAAUGUGAAGCAGAAAAGAUCCCGUGCUCCAAGAUAUGGGAAGUUACUGAUGUAGAACGUAAUACAUAAAGAGAAUAGAGAGAAGAGAAGAAAAAAUUGGGAGGAGAAAAAUCUACAUUUCUGAUUCAAUAUAUUAAUGUGGUGAAAAAGAAUUGAAAAAAAUAGGUUUCCUUUUUUGGGGUAAUGAACUCAAAUCUAAAAGAACCGAUAACUAACAACCAUUAAAAUGAUAAAAUCCUAUCUAAUAAAAUAAUGAAAUAUAGUCUCUAAUUGAAACUCCUAUCUCUUCAUCUUGUUUAGAUAGGAUAGACUUCCUGUUCCCAUCAGUGACUGUUCGCCAUCUUCAGUUUUCUCUUGUUUAGCCCCUGCUCACCUCAUUAGCUAGAAAAAGAGUGUGAACAAUUUUCAAAUUUUGUACUUUUUUAUUGGAAAUAAAUAUGCAGCAUAGGAGAGAAAUCUGCUUUCUGAUAAAUGAGUGUGACAAUUAACAAUCUUAAGAUAGCCACUGUUAAUAGCUUCAAAGUUUUUUUAUUUAGAUGGAGGGAUAAUUAGUUGGAUAGCUUUCAACAAAUAGGAGGGUGUCUCCUUUAGAGUGGUGAGCCUAAAAAGUUCACUACCAAAUGAUCAAUGAGAUGAAUGCCAUCCAGAUAACAUGUUCAUUAUAUAACUAGUAAAAUAUCAGUCAUAUUUCUCCUAUUCUCUGACCAAGAGCACAAAAUCUUGUCACAGAAUCUGAAUUGAUUUAUAAGCAAAAAGUUUACUACAUCGUAUUGUAAGAACAAGAAUUCAUUGCAACUUUGAUGGGCUCCUGAAUCUUUGAGGUAAUACUUUACUAAAUAAUGGUUUCUUCCAUAUGUUGUCUAAGAGAAGGGGAGGUGGAGAAGAAGGAAUCCAUAAUAUCCAUUAAUAGCAUCAGACUAACUAAUCAUACAUACCACAAAACUCUUCCGUAUUCAAAGCCUCCUCUUCAAAGCGCUCUCUUCCCUCAAAUAAGAUACUGAGAUAUACGUAAAUGUUACUUUGAAUUAUGAGCUUGAUAUUCUGCAGUUCUUCAGCAGUGAACUUGUUAGCAUAUAGAAAUUUAACCUGUUACAUGAAAAAAAUAACAAAUUCAAUCAGCUAAAAGAAUGGGUACAAUAACAUAGAACAAUACAAAGAGGAGGAGGAAUCAUUUUUGUGAAUGUACUCUUCCAAAUCUAAAUUAGAUAUAUUCUAGGUGCAUGAUGGAAAAACUGUAUCUAGGAAGGAAAUUAUUAUGGACCUUCACCAAAGUUGGAUGACCUCCAAUGCUUGAAUACAGUAAUUUUCAUUUCAGUUGAAUAAUCCUCUCUCUCUCUGAGUAAGCAAAAAUAAUAGAACCACACUAUAAAAUGUACCUGCUUAAAAAUGGUGCUUGACCCAGACUCCUCAAAUCCAAGCAUCAAAAGUCUCUGGACCCUAUCCUGGUCCAAAUAAUCAGGAAUAGACCUAGUUGACAAUAGAGUAGGUUCUUCUUUUGUACUAUGAGAACUUUCAGGUGGCACAGGCAAUGAAAAUAGCGAACAAAUGAAACGAGUGGACGCCUUCCUAGCAAGAAGCCAACCUCAACUUUUCAAUCCAAUCGAACAACUUCAAAUAAUUGAACAUAGUAUCAAUGAACAUGAAAAGAAUAUUUCAUUAGAGUACGAGAGAACCUUUUUCCAUAUGUUUCCUUUAAUGUUGUUUUGCCCUUCUUCCUCAUAGGAUCCGUCCUCAUAUACCCAAAAGUGAGUAUCACAAGGGCACUGCACCUUAGCCAACUGAAAAGAAGAGAAUGCAGAGACAAAUCAAGUUCCAAGUAGCAAUAACUUAGGUUUUAAGUCAGUACCAACAAAUGUAAGAAAGUUUACGGGUACUUAAUGUAACUGCAAGUAGUAAUAGUUGCAAACAAGUGGUUUCCUAUGAGUCUACAACUAUCAGAUGGAUUUAUUCACUCUUAUCAGAAUCCAAGACACCCGCCUUACGAGAAACUUAAGUUGAAUUUUGAUACCAAUUCAUUUUUAGAGCUAAUUUACUAUAGAAUGCACUGCACAAACAUUCCUCAGAAAACAGAGAUGAGAAAUGUGAAAGGAUAAUUUCCACUUUACAGAAACCUUUUACCUUUAACACUCUGAGCUCAUCUUUUGUGAUCUCGCGGCCAUUUAUGUAGACCCUCGUAUUUCCAUUGCUUGCAUCAAUCUGUAGCUUGCCUCCAACAUCUAAUUUCGAACUUAUAAUCCUAUUUGGCUUCUCUCCGGCCUGCAACAAGUUGAACAAUCAACAUCUUAAGAAAACAUCAUACGAAUAUCAAAAGACAAAUGCUAAAGAAAUCAUGCUUCAAUAACACAUUUCACCUUCCCCCAAAGCCCGGAAUCUCUGUCAUACCAAUACUGCCCGGGCCUCAAAUCCCUUGGAGGAACCACACACCCCAGCAAUUCCACCAAUUCUUCUUCCCUCAAGUGUCUCCCAUUCACAACCACCUGCUCUGGCAUCACCUGAUUCACCGUGCACUCCCUCUCGACCUUCAUUAUUCGCUUAACCUCCAAACUGCCGCACAAUUUCACCAACAGCCUCGAACACUUCCCCAAGCUCCCCCUCCUCGCCUCGUUAAUGGGUUUCCCAAUGCAUCCCAGACACUUCCUCCCCUCCGGCAUCGACCCCAUGGCUUUUAACACACAAUUCUUACAGUACUCUGCUCCACACACAAAGCAACCCACCAUUUCCCCUGAGAACCACCUACAUCCCUUUCCACCACACCUUCCACAGACUCUCUCUUUAUUCCUAAUAAUAAUCCCAAACCCUCCGUUUCUUUCCCUUUUUCUCUCAUCAAAACUCGAAAAAUUGUUACAAUGAUUUAAACUACAGUCUCUCAUGUCAUGAUCACCAACUUCAUUUUCAUCAUCAACCCUUUCCCACAACGACACACUAUCCUUUUCACCGCACCUACCACAAAUUUUCCCUUUAUUCCCAGUAAUAAUCCCAAACUCACUUUUAAUUUCCGUUUCCCUCUCAUCAAAACUCUUACAAUUACGUGUACAACAGUCUCCCACCUCGUGAUCCCCUACUUCAUCAUCAUUAUUAUUAGUAUCAUCAUCACAAGCGAUAAGAAUAUCAGGAGAUUUCUUCGACGAUAUCGUUUCGCUGCUACCGCUGUUGCUAUCAAAUUUGGUAUUGCUUUUGUAAUGAGUAAAUGAAGAGUGUUUGGGGAAAAAGUUGGCAAAUUUUUUUCUGGGAUUUCGAUCGGGUUUUGGAAGAUUAAAGGGGAGAGUGGGGCCAUGAUAAUCGACGGAAAUAGAAUAGUCGAGGUGAUCUUCAUCGGGCAAUGGAGCACCCUCCGGUAACAUCUUCUUCAACACUUCUUCCCAUGAUUUUCUGUCUGCUUAGAGAGAAUUGAAGGUAUAGACUAUAGGUUUUCUAUAGGAAUGUAUAUAAUUAGAAUUUAGCCUCUUUAUGCAGCUUUUCUCUAUCAUAUAUUGGAGUCAGAUUAAUUGGCAGCUGUAGAGUUUUAGUAUUCUAAAAUCUGUUUCUUAUUAUACAUAUCAUAGUUGGGAUAGAACCAACAGAUUCCUUUACAGGAGCACUUCAUCCUUGAUCCUCCCCGACUGCAGCAUACAACUCUUCUGCAGAAAGGAUACUCUCGAAUCAUAGAACUAUAAUGGAAUAAAUGAUCAACCAACAUUUAUAGAAUAAACGGUUCAAUCCUCUUAUCGGUCCUAUGAUUUAUUGAACUCUUUUUAUGAGAUGACUCAUAGAUCUUACAUAUUGAAAUCCUAUAUCAUUGCAUUACGUGAAAUUGGUACUUUUGCAUCAUGUAGUUGGCUAAUAUUCGACGUUUUCUCCUGCUUCCAAUUUCAUUAUUUUGAUUCUAUUUUGGCAUUCGUGAGUGACAGGUAAAACGCAAAAAAAGAAAUGCACAGUUUUCCCUGGGAAGCCAUGGGAUUGUAGAGAUGAUAGGAGUAUUGGAGUUGUUUUAUGGGUUCCACAAACCAUUGAAGAGCUCAUUGAAACAGCAAAAGAGCAGUUAAAUUUUACAAGUGGUUCCUUUAUAUUAUCUGGUAACGGAGGCAAGAUUCCGGAUACAAGCAUGAUUUCUGAUACUGAAAAGCUAUUUUUAGCUGGUGAAGCCCAAUGAAUCACCCUACUUUGUUCUGAGUAUCAUCCUGUGAGUGUGUAGAGAGAACGUAUAUAAAUAUAUAUAGAACAGUGUAAUUAUAAACUUUUUUGAUACUGAAUUUUUCAGGCUUUUUGAAUUUUAGAGAUUUUUUUUUAUUUUAUUUUUUUAACCGUCUAUGGCCUUUCUCAGAAAAAAUACAUACAUCAACACAUCCAUGCAUAAAUUAAAGAAAAUAGAACCAAGAACAUAAAUAAUUUUCGUAAAUCCAUGAAUUGAAUAAAAAAUAUAAACGUAAUUAAAGUCAAAUAAUCUAGAUGUUUUGGGGGGAUGGGGGACCUAGAAACUGCCAAUAGGAUUCAAAGAUGAUUAAAACUACUCAAAAGCCCAAAAAUUCUCUGCACGAACUGCCUUCUCUUCCUCUUCGGUGUAGUCAUUCUGGAUAUGGAAUUUCUCCCGAACCUGUUCUACUGACCAGAGUUUCAUUUCGUUCGCACAAGCAUCACACAUUACAUCCAUUAAUGCCGGGAAGUUGAGAUAAUUUGCUGCUAAGAUCAGCCCAAGAACAUCGUUAAACGGCUUCUUCACAAACUCCGUGUCAAAAUCCUUUUUUUCCUCAUCGGUCGACGUAGAAUCCGCAUGUUUUUCCAUGAACUCUAUGAUCCAAGCCAGAUUUUUGCUAUCAACAUUCAGCAACGGUAUUGCGUCCAAGUCACAGCCAUCUUCAACCAGAUUCUUUAUUGUUAUACACUGAACUGCAACAGAUUCUUUCACCAGGAAUUCUUCAUUAUCGGAACUUUUCAAAAUCAGCGUCUUUUCUUCCGGGGAAGACAUGAUUGUACGUGAUUUUUUAAUAAAACCCUAGAGAGAAAGUUACAGACAAAGAAAAAAAGUGGGGAAGAAGUUAUGGAAAUUGAUUAAUAUAUAUACUGAUGGAGUUGGGGUAUGUCAUAUUAGGACUUUACUAUCAAAAUUGAUUUUGGUCUCCUUUUUUAUUGGGAUUAGGCGGAUACAAGCAUGAUUUCUGAUACUGAAAAGCUAUUUUUAGCUGGUGAAGCCCAAUGAAUCACCCUACUUUGUUCUGAGUAUCAUCCUGUGAGUGUGUAGAGAGAACGUAUAUAAAUAUAUACAGAACAGUGUAAUUAUAAACUUUUUGAUACUGAAUUUUUCAGGCUUUUUGAAUUUUAGAGAUUUUUUUUUAUUUUAUUUUUUUAACCGUCUAUGGCCUUUCUCAGAAAAAAUACAUACAUCAACACAUCCAUGCAUAAAUUAAAGAAAAUAGAACCAAGAACAUAAAUAAUUUUCGUAAAUCCAUGAAUUGAAUAAAAAAUAUAAACGUAAUUAAAGUCAAAUAAUCUAGAUGUUUUGGGGGGAUGGGGGACCUAGAAACUGCCAAUAGGAUUCAAAGAUGAUUAAAACUACUCAAAAGCCCAAAAAUUCUCUGCACGAACUGCCUUCUCUUCCUCUUCGGUGUAGUCAUUCUGGAUAUGGAAUUUCUCCCGAACCUGUUCUACUGACCAGAGUUUCAUUUCGUUCGCACAAGCAUCACACAUUACAUCCAUUAAUGCCGGGAAGUUGAGAUAAUUUGCUGCUAAGAUCAGCCCAAGAACAUCGUUAAACGGCUUCUUCACAAACUCCGUGUCAAAAUCCUUUUUUUCCGCAUCGGUCGACGUAGAAUCCGCAUAUUUUUCCAUGAACUCUAUGAUCCAAGCCAGAUUUUUGCUAUCAACAUUCAGCAACGGUAUUGCGUCCAAGUCACAGCCAUCUUCAACCAGAUUCUUUAUUGUUAUACACUGAACUGCAACAGAUUCUUUCACCACGAAUUCUUCAUUAUCGGAACUUUUCAAAAUCAGCGUUUUUUCUUCCGGGGAAGACAUGAUUGUACGUUAUUUUUUAAUAAAACCCUAGAGAGAAAGUUACAGACAAAGAAAAAAAGUGGGGAAGAGGUUAUGGAAAUUGAUUAAUAUAUACUGAUGGAGUUGGGGUAUGUCAUAUUAGGACUUUACUAUCAAAAUUGAUUUUGGUCUCCUUUUUUAUUGGGAUUAGGAAAUAUUUCCUAAUGUAUGAAAUAUAUUAAUAUAAUAUAACUAUAAACUUAUAACCUAUAUAUAUAUAUAUAUAUAUAUGUUUGAUCAAAUUCCAAGCUCAUUUGAAGAGAUUCAUAUCAUUAUCUAGUAGAAUUUGAUAUUUACGAUAAUAAAAUUUCACUCCGAGGUUCUAUACUUUCAUUUUUCGUAAUAAACACACAAAUUUAUUUUUCAAAAUUUACUUUCAAUAUUUUUCCUUUUAUUUUAAAACGCAGUGUGUUCAAUAUCUAAACAAGUGGAGCAAGUGUUGUAGGAAUUCAAUUUCUUUAGGUUCAAUUUGGUAAUCAAUCUCUAAUAACACCACUGAAUUCUUACAUGUUGGCUAUUAGGUUCAUAUACACUAUUUUACGAGAAUUUGUUAAACAAAUAAGGAGGCCUUUGAAUUGACCAAUAAAGUUAUAGCGAAUACAUCGAUUAGAUGUGCAAGCACCUUUUGCGUAUGGUAGAACCGAUCAUAUAUACAAAUUGACAAAAACGUAACAAUCGGCUGUGACACAGCAUAUGACAAUAAUAUAAUAUUUAAUAAAAGGGUAAUUGGCACAAAAUGUUCAUACCUUUCAAGCUUGUUGUGGAAAAUAUCCUUACCUUUCAUUUUUUGACAAUUUUGUUCCUAUUUUUACCUUUCGUUGUGCUAAACGUUCCUUUUACCAUUUUUUGACAUAAAAUGAUCAAAAUACCCUCAUAUUUAAACAAAUAAAUAAAUAAAAUAAAAUUGCAACUAUAGGUCCAUACGUUCCAUAUGUGCUACAUGUCAUCCACUUCCUAGAAAUUUCCUACUUUUCUACGUUUUUAUGUACCCGCUCCCUAUCCCAGACCCUUUCUUACCCAUAUUAUCAUUUCAGAAUUCAGUAUCAACAAUUUAACUAAUUCUUGUAUUCAAAGUUGAAGAGGAAAUGGAGAAUGGAAAUCAGUCUUCUUUUUGGCAAUUUAGUGAUGAUUUUCAACUUGAAGGAAGCUUGAAUGACUCAAUUUGCAGCACCAACUAUUCGACCAAACACCCCACUGAGCAGAGGAAUUUCAACAUAGGUUUUGGUGCAAGUGAGGUUAAUAACUCUUUCAAUUCAAUUUGGGAGUCUUCCUUUGAAUGACUUAAUUUGGACAAAAGUUGAAUGAAAAACUUGACAUUAUGAUUUCUUGAUUUAGGAGUUCCAAACGGUAAUUGCUCUGCCACAGUUUCUUCACAAUAUAAUAAAUAUGCAUUUCGUGGGAUAUUGUUAAUUUGGAUUUGUUGGGGUCUGUAUAAUGUUACCAGGACAAUGCUCCUCUACCAGACUUAUAAAAGGUCUGAUAGAGGCCUUCUCUCCCAUUUUCUCUUACCUCGACGGACCCCAUGAUUAAAAAAAUAUCCCCCCAAAAACCCACCUCCACCCCACCCCGAAUUGUGAGAGGGGUUGCACUACUAGACCUCUUACAGGCCUGGUAGUGUAGCAUGGUCCAUGUUACCAAUGGUGAUGGCUAUUGUUAAAAAAGUUAAACAAAGUUAAAAAAUAAAUUGAUACCAACGGACGGCGCCUAGUGAAGUGAGAGAAUUUUUUUUAUUUUUAAUAAGGUUUUUGGACCGAUUUGCACUUUUUAAAAAGUUUGGGAGUAGGAGUGCAAUUUGUUCUUUAUUUUUCAAUUCUUUUUGUUUUUGUUUAAUUUAAACAGGAGGGUAUUUUGAUCAUUUUACGUCAAAAUGGUAAAAAUGACGUUUAGCGCAAUUAAAGAUGGAAAUAAGAGCAAAAAUGUCAAAAAAAAAGAAAGAUAUGAACGUUUUUCAUAAUAAACUUAAAAGAUAGAGACGUUUUGCGCUAAUUACCUUAAUAAAAUUAAGAUAGAUGUGACAUUUUACCUGCCACCACUCUUAUUUACUAUUGUCGUCUAUUUUUCUCUAUGUACACCACAAGGUAAUUCCGUUCUAUAAUGAAACAAACUCUUAAAAAAAAAAAAAUUUACCUUGUUUUCGCACAUUCUAAUUUGAUUGUCGAAGUGCGGACUAUGCUGGCUCCCCCCGUGGGUUCGGGUGUGAGCUGUUUUGCAGAGAAUCGUGGAGGAAUAGAUAUUUCUUGACCGAAAGGUCCAAUCAAAGUUUUGAGGUCUCCAGAUUAGUCGACCCGAUUGACGCACCCUGGCUCAACCUUAGCUCAUUAAUAAACCAACCACUCAAAAAGAAGAAAAAAAAAGAAGCGACUCUACCAAAGGAAAACAAUAACAGAGAAAAUUCUUCAAAAAUCGAAGGAAAAAUGGCGUUGCAAUGGAUGAUACUGGCAUACGUAGUGGCGGCAGAGGCAGGGGUUGCAAUUCUCUUAACUCUACCUUCGCCAAAGGCUCUGAAAUCUCG
rnacentral:lncRNA from 1 species